rnacentral:rRNA from 1 species
AGAGUUUGAUCCUGGCUCAGGACGAACGCUGGCGGCGUGCUUAACACAUGCAAGUCGAACGAGAUCCGAACGGUGGCAACACCGGGAAAGAUCGAGUGGCGAACGGGUGCGUAACACGUGAGGAACCUGCCCCGGNUCUCUGGAAUAACAGUGGGAAACCACUGCUAAUACCGGAUAUCUCCUCGGAACCGCAUGGCUCUGAGAAGAAAGGGUUACCGGAUCGGGAGGGUCUCGCGGCCUAUCAGCUUGUUGGUGGGGUAAUGGCCUACCAAGGCUCCGACGGGUAGCUGGUCUGAGAGGACGAUCAGCCACACUGGGACUGAGACACGGCCCAGACUCCUACGGGAGGCAGCAGUGGGGAAUCUUGCGCAAUGGGCGAAAGCCUGACGCAGCAACGCCGCGUGCGGGAUGAAGGCCCUCGGGUUGUAAACCGCUUUCAGCAGGAACGAAAAUGACGGUACCUGCAGAAGAAGGUCCGGCCAACUACGUGCCAGCAGCCGCGGUAACACGUAGGGACCAAGCGUUGUCCGGAUUUAUUGGGCGUAAAGCGCUCGUANGCGGUUCGGUAAGUCGGGUGUGAAACCCCUGGGCUCAACCCGGGGACGCCACCCGAUACUGCUGUGACUCGAGUUCGGUAGGGGAGCGGGGAAUUCCUGGUGUAGCGGUGAAAUGCGCAGA